rnacentral:rRNA from 1 species
UACGGAGGGUGCGAGCGUUAAUCGGAAUUACUGGGCGUAAAGAGUGCGUAGGUGGUUAAUUAAGUUAUCCGUGAAAUCCCUGGGCUUAACCUGGGCAGGUCAGAUAAUACUGAUUGACUCGAGUAUGGGAGAGGGUAGUGGAAUUUCCGGUGUAGCGGUGAAAUGCGUAGAGAUCGGAAGGAACACCAGUGGCGAAGGCGGCUACCUGGCCUAAUACUGACACUGAGGCACGAAAGCGUGGGGAGCAAACAGG